UCAAGUUCAUCCUCAUCCAUGUCAA
rnacentral:misc_RNA from 1 species